UGCCCUAAUACAUGCAGUCGAGCGAACGGACGAGAAGCUUGCUUCUCUGAUGUUAGCGGCGGACGGGUGAGUAACACGUGGAUAACCUACCUAUAAGACUGGGAUAACUUCGGGAAACCGGAGCUAAUACCGGAUAAUAUUUUGAACCGCAUGGUUCAAAAGUGAAAGACGGUCUUGCUGUCACUUAUAGAUGGAUCCGCGCUGCAUUAGCUAGUUGGUAAGGUAACGGCUUACCAAGGCAACGAUGCAUAGCCGACCUGAGAGGGUGAUCGGCCACACUGGAACUGAGACACGGUCCAGACUCCUACGGGAGGCAGCAGUAGGGAAUCUUCCGCAAUGGGCGAAAGCCUGACGGAGCAACGCCGCGUGAGUGAUGAAGGUCUUCGGAUCGUAAAACUCUGUUAUUAGGGAAGAACAUAUGUGUAAGUAACUGUGCACAUCUUGACGGUACCUAAUCAGAAAGCCACGGCUAACUACGUGCCAGCAGCCGCGGUAAUACGUAGGUGGCAAGCGUUAUCCGGAAUUAUUGGGCGUAAAGCGCGCGUAGGCGGUUUUUUAAGUCUGAUGUGAAAGCCCACGGCUCAACCGUGGAGGGUCAUUGGAAACUGGAAAACUUGAGUGCAGAAGAGGAAAGUGGAAUUCCAUGUGUAGCGGUGAAAUGCGCAGAGAUAUGGAGGAACACCAGUGGCGAAGGCGACUUUCUGGUCUGUAACUGACGCUGAUGUGCGAAAGCGUGGGGAUCAAACAGGAUUAGAUACCCUGGUAGUCCACGCCGUAAACGAUGAGUGCUAAGUGUUAGGGGUUUCCGCCCCUUAGUGCUGCAGCUAACGCAUUAAGCACUCCGCCUGGGGAGUACGACCGCAAGGUUGAAACUCAAAGGAAUUGACGGGGACCCGCACAGCGGUGGAGCAUGUGGUUUAUUCGAAGCAACGCGAGAC
rnacentral:rRNA from 1 species